CAACUUUCAGCAACGGAUCUCUUGGCUCUCGCAUCGAUGAAGAACGCAGCGAAAUGCGAUAAGUAAUGUGAAUUGCAGAAUUCAGUGAAUCAUCGAAUCUUUGAACGCACCUUGCGCUCCUUGGUAUUCCGAGGAGCAUGCCUGUUUGAGUGUCAUGAAAUU
rnacentral:rRNA from 1 species